rnacentral:rRNA from 1 species
UACAGAGACUGCAAGCGUUAUUCGGAUUCACUGGGCGUAAAGGGUGCGCAGGCGGCCGUGUGUGUCAGGUGUGAAAGCCCGGAGCUUAACUCCGGAAUUGCGCCUGAAACUACAUGGCUAGAGCAUUGGAGAGGGAAGUGGAAUUCACGGUGUAGCAGUGAAAUGCGUAGAGAUCAUGAGGAAGACCAGUGGCGAAGGCGGGUCUCUGGACAGUUCCUGACACUGAGACACGAAGGCCAGGGGAGCAAACGGG